CAAGAGGUUGACGUCAACAAAAAUGAUGACAUCAUAAUCUAAAUAUAGAAUAGUGACAUCAUCGAGAUGGAGGAGUGUAGGGUGUCAUUGGAGGUGUUACGUCAUAAUCUGAAAAUAGGUAGAAUGAUGUAAUAGAAUUAUUUUUAGUAACAGAAGUCAUGUGAUUUUCUCAUUAAAAAGAGGUGAAAUUUUAGGAAUAUAUUAGUAAGCUUAACAUGGGUCUCACUCUCUCUGCUCGUUGAAUACGAUUUAACACGUACCGCUUACUGGCUAGAAAUCUGAUCACUCCUAUAAGUGAAAUAGUUUUGCUGACAGAAGCCUCAUUAUGUGGUCUACCAGGUACCAAGCUUUCCAAGUUAAAGAACCUUCAUUCCGAAGAACCCUUGCCCAAUUCGGCCCAUUAUUGAGUAUAGAAUAGGAAGAAAUACAUUUUAGCAGGGUAAUUUAGUAACAGAAUAAAAUAUACAUUAUUUCUA